AUUUGCGCAACACAACAGCAACCUUAUCAAAAGAAGACCUGAUCAAAACUCUUCAAAGAAUGAAAUCGACUGCUACCUGGUCUGCACUCUGUCUACGGCGAGAUUUGUGGCUGUGGCUGAUUGAUCCAAGCCUGGUCAGCACUCUGUCUGCAGGUACUUAUGGGCACGAUAUCGAGCAGAUAAUACGGAUGUGAUCGGAUUUUCUCUUUAGGAGGUUCGGGUCACAUGAGAAUUUACAAGAACUCACUUACAAAGGGAAUUUGGAGAUAACAACGUGUUAAUUAUCGCUUAAUUAAAUUUGUUACAUACAUUUUGUGUUGGUUAUUGUAUUUGGAAAAAAAAUCAGGUCUGUGUAUAUUUUGUGUUGGUUAUUGUAUUUAGAGUGAAUUGCAAAUUUUGUCCUUUAUGUUUAUACCCAAUUUCAAGCGGUG